UUGAAAGGGAAACGAUUGAAGUCAGUCGUACCUAUGGGUAAUCAGCCUUUUGGGUGUGAUUUUGUGGAGCGUGAGGAGUUAAACGCCUUCAUGCCUGCAUAUUCGUGCACUUUGGGUGUACUUGCCCGUAUGGUUGGUUAACAUCAAUUUUGGUGGUCAUAAAAUGACUGGAGGAAUGUAGCUUCGAUCUCGUAUUGAAGUGUUAUAGCCUUCGGUAGAUGUGAUGACCGAGAUUGAGGAUUGCAACGGAUACCCUUCGGGGCUACCUGUCUGAUCUCUGAUCGUUGCUCUGGUGCCGAAAGCUUGCUUACGGUUAUCAAAGUCGAUGGUCAAUAGGUUAGAACGGGUUAAAUUCGUUAAGGAUGUUGACGUA
rnacentral:rRNA from 1 species